rnacentral:rRNA from 1 species
GCGCGAAAACUUGGCAAUGCGAGAAAUCGUGACCAGGGAACUCCAAGUGGCUGGGGUAAGACCCAGUCUUUUCUUGACUCUUCAAAGGUCUUGGAAUAAGGGGUGGGUAAGGACGGUGCCAGCCGCCGCGGUAAUACCGGCGCCUCAAGUGGUAGUCGAUUUUAUUGGGCCUAAAACGUCCGUAGCCUGUUUGGUACAUUCGUGGGUAAAUCAACCAGCUCAACUGGUUGAAUUCUGCGAGCACGGCCAGACUUGGGACCGGGAGAGGUGUGGGGUACGCUCAGGGUAGGGGUAAAAUCCUGUCAUCCUGAGCGGACCACCUGUUGCGAAGGCGCCACACUAGAACGGAUCCGACGGUCAGGGACGAAGCCUAGGGGCACGAACCGGAUUAGAUACCCGGGUAGUCCUAGGUGUAAACGCUGUGGACUUGGUGUUGGGGACUCUCCGAGAAUCCUCAGUGCCGAAGCGAAGGUGAUAAGUCCACUGCCUGGGGAGUACGGUCGCAAGGCUGAAACUUAA